rnacentral:rRNA from 1 species
UCGAGGAGAAGUCUGACGGAGCACGCCGCGUGAGCGAUGAAGGCCUUCGGGUCGUAAAGCUCUGUUGUCAGGGAAGAACAAGUACCGGAGUAACUGCCGGUACCUUGACGGUACCUGACCAGAAAGCCACGGCUAACUACGUGCCAGCAGCCGCGGUAAUACGA